UGGUGAUAGUGGUUAAUGAGCUCCACCACGGAAUUAAAUGUCAGAGGAUCAGAAAAGCCAUAUUUACCAUCCCGGUGAUAGAUCUUUAUUAACUUAUUAUUGCCUCCCUUCCGCAAAGUCAAAGUAUAAUCUCCCUGCAUUUUUGUUGAGGCAUCUCGGACCAAGAAGGUCCCAUCUGGCAUAUCCCGCAAUUUGUCAUUUACCUCCUCCCUUGAAAUAUCCC
rnacentral:lncRNA from 1 species